UACGUAGGGCGCAAGCGUUGUCCGGGAUUAUUGGGCGUAAAGAGCUCGUAGGCGGCUUGUCACGUCGGUUGUGAAAGCCCGGGGCUUAACCCCGGGUCUGCAGUCGAUACGGGCAGGCUAGAGUUCGGUAGGGGAGAUCGGAAUUCCUGGUGUAGCGGUGAAAUGCGCAGAUAUCAGGAGGAACACCGGUGGCGAAGGCGGAUCUCUGGGCCGAUACUGACGCUGAGGAGCGAAAGCGUGGGGAGCGAACAGG
rnacentral:rRNA from 1 species